rnacentral:rRNA from 1 species
UACGGAGGGUGCAAGCGUUGUUCGGAAUUACUGGGCGUAAAGCGCGCGUAGGCGGUUUUAUAAGUCAGAUGUGAAAGCCCAUGGCUCAACCAUGGACGUGCAUUUGAAACUGUGAGACUUGAGUAUUGGAGGGGGUGGUGGAAUUCCCGGUGUAGAGGUGAAAUUCGUAGAUAUCGGGAGGAAUACCAGUGGCGAAGGCGACCACCUGGCCAAAUACUGACGCUCAUGUGCGAAAGCGUGGGGAGCAAACAGGAUUAGAUACCCUGGUAGUCCACGCCGUAAACGAUGUCAACUAGGUGUUGGGACGGUUAAUCGUCUCAUUGCCGCAGCUAACGCAUUAAGUUGACCGCCUGGGGAGUACGGUCGCAAGAUUA